GACUGGGCCGUUUCAACAGGUAGAACCAUGCGACGUGGUGCUGAGCAAAAACGAGCACAAAUUUCGACGAAGUCCCAAAGAUGAUCGUUCCCAGCAGGAUAUUUCUCCACAGUCUUCAAGGAACAUGUGCAGACAUUACGACGGGGCCAUCCGCAUCCUCUUUCGCUUUCCAUGUGCAAUUUAGGGUGGAUGGAUGCUGUCGGUAAACACGGUGAGGCGGUGACCCAGCAGAGUAAAGUUUCUGGUGUGGUUAAAAUCUGCACGGCACAAUGCAGCGGACACAUCACUCCGGAGGUCAGGCUCAUUCAGGGCUUGCUAAAGAGCCAUAAAGAUGCUCUCAGUUGCAGCUGUCCAUGCAAACACCUAUAACAUCUUGUUGAAAUGCAGUGAAAGUUGCAUGAAGUCUCACCCUUCAUCUGCGAUAUAAUGAAUUCCAAGAAUUCUGCAGCUGAAGAGAUGUUUCCUCCAGGCAACCAAACCUUUUGACCUGAGCCGUCUGCAGGCCAUCUGUAGAGAUAGAAAACGGCUGUUGAGGAGACUGGAGGAUUUCACUUAUGAGAGAUUGAUGCUCCUGCAGUCGCUCAAAAUUCGGUGUCAGUCUUGUCAGGAAUGUGCA